rnacentral:rRNA from 2 species
GACCUGGGAGGGUGAACGCCCACACUGGGACUGAGACACGGCCCAGACUCCUACGGGAGGCACCAGUAGGGAAUCUUCCCCAAUGGACGAAAGUCUGACGGAGCAACGCCGGGUGAGUGAUGAAGGUUUUCGGAUCGUAAAGCUCUGUUGCCAGGGAAGAACAUCCCGGAGAGUAACUGCUAUUGGAGUGACGGUACCUGAGAAGAAAGCCCCGGCUAACUACGUGCCAGCAGCCGCGGUAAUACGUAGGGGGCAAGCGUUGUCCGGAAUUAUUGGGCGUAAAGCGCGCGCAGGCGGCUAUUUAAGUUGGGUGUUUAAACCUAAGGCUCAACCUUGGGUCGCACCCAAAACUGC